rnacentral:rRNA from 1 species
UACGUAGGUGGCAAGCGUUGUCCGGAUUUAUUGGGUUUAAAGGGUGCGUAGGCGGGUAUUUAAGUCAGAGGUGAAAGACGGCCGCUCAACGGUCGCAGUGCCUUUGAUACUGGAUAUCUUGAGUGCAGACGAGGUCUGUGGGAAUGGAUGGUGUAGCGGUGAAAAUGCUUAGAUACCAUCCAGAACACCAAUUGCGAAGGCAGCAGACUAGGGUGCCACUGACGCUGAGGCACGAAAAGUGCGGGGGAUCAAAACAGGG